UACGUAGGGUGCAAGCGUUAAUCGGAAUUACUGGGCGUAAAGCGUGCGCAGGCGGUUUUGUAAGUUUGUCGUGAAAUCCCCCGGGCUCAACCUGGGAAUUGCGAUGAAGACUGCAAGGCUAGAAUCUGGCAGAGGGGGGUAGAAUUCCACGUGUAGCAGUGAAAUGCGUAGAGAUGUGGAGGAACACCGAUGGCGAAGGCAGCCCCCUGGGUCAAGAUUGACGCUCAUGCACGAAAGCGUGGGGAGCAAACAGG
rnacentral:rRNA from 1 species